UCCUUUGACUGCACUUCUUCCCUAGUAACUCUACGUAAUAGUCUACAAACAGCAUGACUAUUACUUCUAGAUCAGUCUUCCAAUUCCCAGAGUCAUCCUUAAGUUGAGUUGUUGCUUGUUGUAGGCUUCGAUAUUUUAUGACAGAGAAGAAAUAUUUGGUGUUAUCGUCUCCAAGUUUUAUUCUUGUAGCUUUGCUCCUCUGUUGAAGAUAAAUUUAUACCUUGUAGGAGGUCUGUCUGAAUUUUUGGUAUUUUUCCUUCUCAUCUUCCUGAUAAUCAACAUUCAUAGGAUCCUGCUGUAAUAGUUGUUGAGCCUUCAACAUAGCUUCCCUAUCCUCUUGACAUUCAGAAACAAUAUUCCUGAAGUCCCGAUUAUUAAGCUCCUUUAAUCCAUAUUUCAUGAUCUUUAGCUUUCUAACUACUUUUAGCAUCUUACAACCUUCUACCUAAGUGUCCCAUGCUUCUCUCACUUUCCCCUUAAAUCUGGGCUGAGUCACUCAUACACUACAAAAUUGAAAUGACUUCCUGUUCUAUGAGUCUGCAUUAGUUAGUGUCACUUUAAUUGGGCAAUGAUCAUUUAUUCUUUAAGGAAGGUACUUUACUACACUGGAACGCAGUGUGCUUAGCCAUACACUGUUAAUAAAGACCCUAUCAAUUUUUUUAAAAAAUCCUCUGAUUAUCACUUUUAUCAUUCCAAGUUUAUCUUUGACCCUGGUAAGACAUUUCUAUGAAACCACAUGUUGCAAUACAAUUCUGAAAAAUCUUCUAUUUCUGACCACACCACAGGGUAGCCCCCAAUCCUGUCUUCAGUUGUUAGUACUGAGUUGAAAUCGCCUAGGAUGAUCCAAGGUAAUUGACAAACCACAUUGUAAGCCAUAAGAGAUUCCCAUAACUCUUUUCUGCCUUCCUUUGUAUUAUAGGCAUAAGCCAUUGUCAUGAUAAAUGAAUGUUGCAGAGGAACACUUCUCUCUUCACAAGUAAUCAACUGAGAUGUUGACUCUUUUGGUGUAACUGUAUAAUAAUCCGGCCUCCAAGUUAUCCAAAUCCUACCAUUGUAAUGAGAAGCAAGAUUGGUAAUGAAUGGUCAGCCACCAAACAUCUUCUAAGCUAUCAAAUCGAUCUUCGCUACUUUUAUUUUUGUUUCCAGUAACCCUACUAGCCCAAUUUUUUCAUUAUUACAAAAUAGUUUCACCUCCUUUUGCUUAUUAGGUCCAUUGAGCCCUCUCACAUUCUGACAAAGACAACUAUACAUUCCCAAUAUUGGGAUUAGGAUGGCCUCCCACUGUUUCUUCACUGUUACUGGUAGCCUUCUUAUUCUUACCCUCUUUGUUCAGUACCUGAAAAGUGUCUUUACUCUCUACAUGUAGUUGUUGCUUAGCUUGAGACUUCAGUGUUUUUGGAGGUGUGACCCAGACAGUGGUUGCACCCUGCUUCUAAGACUUGUCUGAUCUGCCCGACUUGUGAGGAUCCAACACAAUUGUUGGAGGUGAGUUAGUUUGGAGUUGUUGAGCAAAAAACCAUUAGAAUGGUGGAGAGCUAUUCAGAUAUAAUUGUUUUGAGACACUUUCAAAGUGGUAUUCUAACAAAGAAGCAAUCAUACUAGUGACAUGUUCAACUUCAACCCACAUGAUUAAAGCAGUUUUUCCACUAAUAAGGACAUGUGAAAUCGAUUAGUAAGUUUAGAUAUUGUUGAAAAUAUCAUUUUCAUUGUUCGAAAGUUGUUUAACAUACGGUUGGCUUUUGUUGAUCUAAAUUUUUAUUUUUCUGCUUAUCCUCUUCUAUAUGUUGUUUUACACAUCUUCUGAUUGAGUUAAUAAUACAUGCUUUGCUUCCAUAGAAGAUGAGAAAUUGCAAAAUUCCUUUAUGAAAUGUUUGCUAAGUUUCUGUCACCUAAUUCAGAUUCCACUGGAUUAAUUUUUGACCCAAGAUUAUGCAUAUGUUUGGUCUACCGUUGAAAAGGAAAAACCUCGAAUGAUACCGGUAUUUUUUUAAGAAUACAAAGUUGCGAUAAAGACUGAAAUUUUGAUGGCAUUAAUUUCGAUAUGGAUCACCGUUGAGAACUUUUUCUGAGGGAGAAAUUCUAUCUGAGUCAAUUACAGACUAGCAACUAAUUGUUGUGCAUUAUAUAAUUGCAUAUUUCUUGGAUGGCAGGCUGGGGAUAUUCUUGAAAGCAUGAGAAGAAAGAAUAUGCAUCAAUCAUCCAUGGGAAUGUAUACUUACGAGGAGACAAUGGUCAUCA